rnacentral:rRNA from 1 species
UACGUAGGGUCCAAGCGUUAUUCGGAAUUACUGGGCGUAAAGCGUUCGUAGGCGGUUUUGUAAGUUGGAUGUGAAAUCCUGUGGCUCAACCACAUGGACUGUGUCCAAAACUACAUGACUAGAGCAUAGUAGAGGCAAGUGGAAUUUCUGGUGUAGGAGUGACAUCCGUAGAUAUCAGAAGGAACACCAAUGGCGAAGGCAGCUUGCUGGGCUAUUGCUGACGCUCAGGAACGAAAGCGUGGGGAGCGAACGGGAUUAGAUACCCCGGUAGUCCACGCCGUAAACGAUGAUCACUAACAGUAUGGAGAUUCGACCCUCUGUGUUGUACAGCUAACGCGUUAAGUGAUCCGCCUGGGGAGUACGGGCGCAAGCUUA